AAGGAAUAUUGGUCAAUGGACGCAAGUCUGAACCAGCCAUGCCGCGUGAAGGAUUAAGGUCCUCUGGAUUGUAAACUUCUUUUAUCUGGGACGAAAAAAGGCGAUUCUUCGUCACUUGACGGUACCAGAUGAAUAAGCACCGGCUAACUCCGUGCCAGCAGCCGCGGUAAUACGGAGGGUGCAAGCGUUAUCCGGAUUCACUGGGUUUAAAGGGUGCGUAGGCGGGCAGGUAAGUCAGUGGUGAAAUCCUGGAGCUUAACUCCAGAACUGCCAUUGAUACUAUCUGUCUUGAAUAUUGUGGAGGUAAGCGGAAUAUGUCAUGUAGCGGUGAAAUGCUUAGAUAUGACAUAGAACACCUAUUGCGAAGGCAGCUUACUACGCAUAUAUUGACGCUGAGGCACGAAAGCGUGGGGAUCAAACA
rnacentral:rRNA from 1 species